GAGUACAUGGCUCAAAAGGAGAAGAAUACGUCCUUAAUACGGACGAGCUGCAGGUUUAAAUCCUGCUGUACUCC
rnacentral:tRNA from 1 species